UCCGCCGUGGCGUAAUAGGGAACGCAGCAGGUUUUGGUCCUGAAGAUUCUAGGUUCGAGUCCUAGCGGCGGAGC
rnacentral:tRNA from 1 species